rnacentral:misc_RNA from 1 species
AUGGAACUUCAUGUGGAAGACCAAGAGUUUUUCUGUAUACCAGUGUUAAAUAUUUGUCAUUCCUACCACUAGUAUGUAAAUCUCUAAUUUAUCUCAUCUUCUGUCCUAUCCCAAUGGGUGAGUUCAGUUUUUCUUUGUGGAAGAGAUGUACAGGUCUGGACACUUUAAGGCUUAUCCAUGAGUUAAUGCUAUAGCUCCAUCCUUCACAGGGAAAAAAAAGAACAGCCAUUGAAUGUGAAUAUAAGCUGUUAUUUCCUGAGAUGUAUGUAGCAAUACUAGCUGUUAUUUCCUGGAGGGUUCUUUAUCGAAUCCAAAAUGAAGGAUACCGGGAUAUCGUAUAACGU